AUUGAACGCUGGCGGCAUGCUUUACACAUGCAAGUCGAACGGUAACAGGCCGCAAGGUGCUGACGAGUGGCGAACGGGUGAGUAAUGCAUCUGAACGUGCCCAGUCGUGGGGGAUAACUCCUCGAAAGAGUAGCUAAUACCGCAUACGAUCUAUGGAUGAAAGCGGGGGACCGUAAGGCCUCGCGCGAUUGGAGCGGCCGAUGUCAGAUUAGGUAGUUGGUGGGGUAAAGGCUCACCAAGCCAACGAUCUGUAGCUGGUCUGAGAGGACGACCAGCCACACUGGGACUGAGACACGGCCCAGACUCCUACGGGAGGCAGCAGUGGGGAAUUUUGGACAAUGGGCGCAAGCCUGAUCCAGCAAUGCCGCGUGCAGGAAGAAGGCCUUCGGGUUGUAAACUGCUUUUGUACGGAACGAAACGGCUCUGGUUAAUACCCGGGGCUAAUGACGGUACCGUAAGAAUAAGCACCGGCUAACUACGUG
rnacentral:rRNA from 1 species